AAAGCCCUUCAAUUCAAGCCCAGGCUCUUUAGUGCCCUUCCUCUUUCCUCCUGGUGCCUGACAUAUAAAUGGUACUUGGCAACAGCAGGUGUAUAAAGAGACACGCUUAUUGAGAGACUGCAGUGCUAUUCCUUGAUACUGGCUUGUGAGGCAGAGGGCAUCAAUUUGUUGUGCUUUCUCCUAGCUGGGUGAUCGUCGACAUAAAGUUAGCUACCCUCUCACAGCACUGUUGCAUAUAGAUUUCAGGAUAAUUGUCUUAUAGGUUUCCAUGUGGCCCAAUAUCUAGUGUGCUAUGUCAGAUGAAUGGUGCUUGCAUUUAGAUUAACUUUAGAGGCUUCUGUGCUGCAGAGUUCUUCACAGAUUUCUUCUGUCAUUCAUUCUUCAGGUGUGCCAAAAAUGGACAGUGUUUUUUGUAGGCACAGUAGUUUCCCUGUGCCAAGUUAAGACGUGUAACAUCAAUUAAACAUUACCUUGAGUAGCCAUCUGUAUUCAUAUGUAUCUUACACUUAAAAAGAGGUGAUUCUUUAAAAAUACUGAUGUGGUUUAGAUGUGAAAUUUGCCCCUUGGGCUAUGUGCUUGACCAGUUGACUGUCAGGUGGCGGUGCUGUUGUUAAAAAGUUGUGAAAGUUUUAACUGGAAGUGGCUCACUGUGUGGAAUGGGGGAAGGAAUAGCUCCCUCUGAUUUCAGGUGAGCCCUAUGGUUAGUGGAGUAUGAAGAGUUCCAGUCUCACUACCCAUCACCAUGCCUACCUGAACACAGUGGACUGUGCUUUCCCUAACUGUGAGACUAAUAAAUCCCUCCUCCUUAAUGUUGUGCCUGUGAAGCCUUUCAUUACGACAACAAGGAAGGCAAUUAAUAGAUGUUUAUCUCUUAACCUAUAAAAUUCAUUCCCUAAUUAAAUGAUAAAAGCUUAUAAAUACGUCAUGCAACACCAAGUAAAGAAUUCUGUCCCCUGUAAAUGACAGGAACAAGAAUCUACAGCCAUCUGUGAAUGUGGCUUCAGCCAUCGAUAGUCUGUGAUAAGGGAAAUAACGGUUGAGUAUGUCAAAAUUGUUCACAGCAUAGAGGCCUCUCGUGUGAACUCCAGAGAGAUAGGCAACCUCUUCCUUGACCUUGCUUAGUUUUCCUGUCUUUGCAAAGAACAUUGUUCCCUAGACACUGGCUGAAAGAAUCCAAGAGUUAAAGAAAUGAGGACUGACAAUUAACUGAACGUGAAGUGGACCAAGAAUGAGAGUGUUGAGGGGACUAUAGUAGGGGGGAGACUGGGAAAGGGAUCAGUAGUGGCUGGUGAGUGUUCAGCACUAUAAUUCUUGCUUAGAAUUUCAUGUUCUUUUUGUUUGUUUGGUUGGUUUGUUUCUGUUUUUCCGAGACUGGGUUUCUCUGUAUAGCUCUGGCUGUCCUGGACUCACUCUGUAGUCCAGGCUGGUCUCGAACUCAGAAAUCUGCCUCCCAAGUGCUGGGAUUAACGGCGUGCACCUCCACUGUCCAGCUAGAAUUUCAUGUUCUU
rnacentral:lncRNA from 1 species